rnacentral:rRNA from 1 species
UGACCUCGGAUCAGGUAGGAGUACCCGCUGAACUUAAGCAUAUCAAUAAGCGGAGGAAAAGAAACCAACAGGGAUUGCCUCAGUAACGGCGAGUGAAGCGGCAAAAGCUCAAAUUUGAAAUCUGGCACCGUUAGGUGUCCGAGUUGUAAUUUGGAGAGGAUACUUCGGGUGUGGCUACGGCGUAAGUCCCUUGGAACAGGGCGUCAUAGAGGGUGAGAAUCCCGUCUUAAGUCGUUUGUCCACGCCCAUGCGAAGUUCCUUCGACGAGUCGAGUUGUUUGGGAAUGCAGCUCUAAGUGGGUGGUAAAUUUCAUCUAAAGCUAAAUAUUGGCCGGAGACCGAUAGCGAACAAGUAGAGUGAUCGAAAGGUUAAAAGCACCUUGAAAAGGGAGUUAAAUAGCACGUGAAAUUGUUGAAAGGGAAGCGCUUGCAACCAGACUCGGUCAUAGGGGCUCAGCAGGCAUGCGUGCCUGUGUACUCCCCUGUGUUCGGGCCAGCAUCAGUUCUGGCGGUUGGUUAAAGGCCCUUGGAAUGUAUCGUCCUCCGGGACGUCUUAUAGCCAAGGGUGUAAUGCAGCCAGCUGGGACUGAGGAACGCGCUUCGGCACGGAUGCUGGCGUAAUGGUUGUAAGCGACC